rnacentral:tRNA from 4 species
GCGAGAGUGGUGGAAUGGUAGACACGCUAGAUUUAGGAUCUAGUGCCUUCGGGCGUGCGGGUUCAAGUCCCGCCUCUCGCA